rnacentral:lncRNA from 10 species
AUGCAUCCUGACUUACCUCCACACUUGCACACUCAAGAAUGCAACAUCGUGAUUAACUUGCUAAAAGAAUAUCACAAAAAUCAUAGCAUCCGAACAUUUUUUGGUCAUUGCAAUGAUCUGGAUCAGGCAAUGAGAAAAUAAAUGCUUGAAGAAUGAGUACAUGGAAAAGAGGACCAAGAGCAGAGAGUAUGGCAAUUUGAUGCAAAAGAGACUUUAAGAGACUUUUUAAUUCUCCAGAGGAAUCUGAAAAAUAA